GAUGAAGAACGUAGUGAAAUGCGAUAAGUAAUGUGAAUUGCAGAAUUCAGUGAAUCAUCGAAUCUUUGAACGCACCUUGCGCCCUUUGGCUAUUCCGAAGGGCAUGCCUGUUUGAGUAUCAUGAACACCUCAACUCUCAUGGCUUGCCGUGAUGAGCUUGGACUUUGGGGGUCUUGCUGGCCUGUGGUUGGCUCCUCUCAAAUGAAUCAGCUUAUCAGUGUUUGGUGGCAUCACAGGUGUGAUAACUAUCUACGCUUGUGGUUUUCCACCAGGUUAACCUUCAGUGAUGGAGGUUCGCUGGAGCUCAUAAAUGUCUCUUCUCAGUGAGGACAGCUCUUUGAACGUUUGAUCUCAAAUCAGGUAGGACUACCCGCUGAACUUAAGCAUAUCAAUAAGCGGAGGA
rnacentral:misc_RNA from 1 species